rnacentral:rRNA from 1 species
AGUGAACGCUGGCGGUAGGCCUAACACAUGCAAGUCGAACGGCAGCACAGGAGAGCUUGCCCUCUGGGUGGCGAGUGGCGGACGGGUGAGGAAUACAUCGGAAUCUACUCUGUAGUGGGGGAUAACGUAGGGAAACUUACGCUAAUACCGCAUACGACCUACGGGUGAAAGCAGGGGCCCUUCGGGCCUUGCGCGAUUGAAUGAGCCGAUGUCGGAUUAGCUAGUUGGCGGGGUAAAGGCCCACCAAGGCGACGAUCCGUAGCUGGUCUGAAAGGAUGAUCAGCCACAGUGGAACGGAGACACGGGCCAGACUCCUACGGGAGGCAGCAGUGGGGAAUAUUGGACAAUGGGCGCAAGCCUGAUCCAGCCAUACCGCGUGGGUGAAGAAGGCCUUCGGGUUGUAAAGCCCUGUUGGUGGGAAAGAAAUCCAGCUGGCUAAUACCCGGUUGGGAUGACGUUACCCAAAGAAGAAGCACCGGCUAACUUCGUGCCAGCCGCCGCUGUAA